rnacentral:rRNA from 1 species
UGAGGAAUAUUGGUCAAUGGACGCAAGUCUGAACCAGCCAAGUAGCGUGCAGGAUGACGGCCCUAUGGGUUGUAAACUGCUUUUAUAUGGGGAUAAAGUGGGGAACGUGUUCCCUUUUGCAGGUACCAUAUGAAUAAGGACCGGCUAAUUCCGUGCCAGCAGCCGCGGUAAUACGGAAGGUUCGGGCGUUAUCCGGUUUUAUUGGGUUUAAAGGGAGCGUAGGCCGUUUGGUAAGCGUGUUGUGAAAUGUAGGAGCUCAACUUCUAGAUUGCAGCGCGAACUGUCAGACUGGAGUGCGCACAACGUAGGCGGAAUUCAUGGUGUAGCGGUGAAAUGCUUAGAUAUCAUGAAGAACUCCGAUUGCGAAGGCAGCUUACGGGAGCGCAACUGACGCUGAAGCUCGAAGGUGCGGGUAUCGAACAGG